UACGUAGGGUGCGAGCGUUGUCCGGAAUUACUGGGCGUAAAGAGCUCGUAGGCGGUUUGUCGCGUCUGCUGUGAAAACUGGAGGCUCAACCUCCAGCCUGCAGUGGGUACGGGCAGACUAGAGUGGCGGUAGGGGAGAUUGGAAUCCUGGUGUAGCGGUGGAAUGCGCAGAUAUCAGGAGGAACACCGAUGGCGAAGGCAGAUCUCUGGGCCGUAACUGACGCUGAAG
rnacentral:rRNA from 1 species